rnacentral:rRNA from 1 species
GAAUAUUGGACAAUGGGCGCAAGCCUGAUCCAGCCAUGCCGCGUGAGUGAAGAAGGCCUUCGGGUUGUAAAGCUCUUUUGUACGGGAAGAAACACGGCCGGUUCAUACCCGGCUGGACUGACGGUACCGGAAGAAUAAGCACCGGCUAACUUCGUGCCAGCAGCCGCGGUAAUACGAAGGGUGCAAGCGUUACUCGGAAUUACUGGGCGUAAAGCGUGCGUAGGUGGUGCGUUAAGUCCGAUGUGAAAGCCCUGGGCUCAACCUGGGAAUGGCAUUGGAUACUGGCGUGCUCGAGUACGGUAGAGGGUGGCGGAAUUCCCGGUGUAGCAGUGAAAUGCGUAGAGAUCGGGAGGAACAUCCGUGGCGAAGGCGGCCACCUGGACCAGUACUGACACUGAGGCACGAAAGCGUGGGGAGCAAACAGG